GCACUGGUAGCUCAGGGGUAGAGCAAUCGGCUGCAGCGUUCAAAAGCCUCCGAUAGGUCCCUGGUUCAAAUCCGGGUCAGUGCU